CGUAACACUCCAGGAUCUCUGAGAUCACCUCAGGCAUGCUGUCCAUAUCUCCAAAAUCCAGCAGCACCAGUUUAGAGGGGAACGUCUGAGGAGGAGAGCCAGUCAUGAUAAAGAGAUGGAAAAGUCUUUUGCUGAUGAUGCAGAUGAGAUGGGAUGGGAUGUCAAAGACCAUUUAGGAUCUAAUGAACGUGAUUAACAUUUAAAAAAUAAAUAAAAUAAUAAAUACUUAUUUGUGGAUCGUAACUUAGUUUUUUCUUCUUUCUUCUCCCAUUACUCAUCUCACGACCCCUCAGAUUUGUCUUGUGAUCCUUUGGAGGGGCUCGACCCCUAGGUUAGCAACCAAUGGGCUAAACCAGCUAACCGUUUAUAAAGUAGUUAAAUCUAGCUUCACCUCGAGCAGCUGCAACAGUAACAUGCUGCUCCAACAUUGAUGAUGAUGAUGAUAACUUUAUUCUUAGACUCAAGGUCCACUUAAAAACAUACAACACAAUUAAAAGGACAGACACAUACAUCACUAUUAAUAAUAAGAGUGUGUAGUAGGACGUCUACUACACCAAUGGAGUAUUUUAGUAUACAGCAAUCUGUUUCCAGUUUUGGUGCUGUUGUACUUACCACAGUGGGGUCUGAGGCAUUUGCCAAGUCAUCGGCCAGUUCUUCAAGUUUCUCCCAACUCUUCCCGCAGAGGAUCAGCCUCGCUCCUCCUCUGUGAAACACACCUGCACAUUCUGCAUUGAUUAAAAAAAAAAAAAAAAAGUUUGACUGUAAAAUCAAAUGGA